rnacentral:rRNA from 1 species
CUCAACCUCGGAAUUGCAGUCGAUACUGCUGUGACUCGAGUCCGGUAGAGGAGAAUGGAAUUCUCGGUGUAGCGGUGAAAUGCGCAGAUAUCGAGAGGAACACCACUAGCGAAGGCGGUUCUCUGGGCCGGCACUGACGCUGAGGAGCGAAAGCGUGGGGAGCAAACAGGAUUAGAUACCCUGGUAGUCCACGCCGUAAACGUUGGAUACUAGGUGUGGCGGUCUUACCAACGACUGCCGUGCCGAAGCUAACGCAUUAAGUAUCCCGCCUGGGGAGUACGGCCGCAAGGCUAAAACUCAAAGGAAUUGACGGGUCCCCGCACAAGCGGCGGAGCAUGCGGCUUAAUUCGAUGCAACCCGAAGAACCUUACCUGGGUUUGACAUCACGGGAAAAGCUGUAGAAAUACAGUGUCCGUAAGGGCCC